CUAGCAACGGUGGCCCUCGAUGACGACGUUGAAGACUCAAUUAUAUGGAAGUUCACCAAAAAUGGGAUAUAUUCUGCAUCCUCGGCUUACAAGGCUCAAUUUGAAGGCCUCACCACCUCGGACCUUGUCCAUUUAGUGUGGACGAAGUGGGCGCCCUCCCGAUGCAAGUUUUUUGCUUGGCUCAUUCUUCAAGAUAGGAUUUGA
rnacentral:rRNA from 1 species